rnacentral:rRNA from 1 species
AGAGUUUGAUCCUGGCUCAGGAUGAACGCUAGCGGCAGGCUUAACACAUGCAAGUCGUGGGGCAGCGCGGACUUCGGUCUGGCGGCGACCGGCAAACGGGUGCGGAACACGUACGCAACCUCCCUCAGAGCGGGGAAUAGCCUCUCGAAAGAGAGAUUAAUACCCCAUAGUAUCUUGAAGACACAUGUCUAUGAGAUUAAAGCUUCGGCACUUUGAGAUGGGCGUGCGGCUGAUUAGGUAGUUGGUAGGGUAACGGCCUACCAAGCCGACGAUCAGUAGCUGAUGUGAGAGCAUGAUCAGCCACACGGGCACCGAGACACGGGCCCGACUCCUACGGGAGGCAGCAGUGAGGAAUAUUGGUCAAUGGAGGAAACUCUGAACCAGCCAUGCCGCGUGGAGGAUGAAGGUCCUCUGGAUUGUAAACUCCUUUUAUAAAAGAAGAAACCCCAUUUUUCUAAAUGGGUUGACGGUACUUUAUGAAUAAGCACCGGCUAACUCCGUG